rnacentral:RNase_P_RNA from 1 species
UAAGUAGGAUGGAUGAUCGCGGCUGCAAGUGUCGAAAGACCGCAGACGAGGAAAGUCCGGGCUUCACAGGGCAGGAUGCCGGCUAACGGCCGGUGGAGGUAACUCCAAGGACAGUGCAACAGAAAUAUACCGCCGGGCAACCGGUAAGGGUGGAAGGGCAGUGUAAGAGACUACCGCCUCUCUGGUAACAGAGGGGGCACAUGUAAACCCCAUCUGAAGCAAGACCGAAGCAAGACGAUAAUGCGGCCCGUUAGUCUUAGGUAGGUUGCUUGAAGCAGCUGGCAACAGUUGUUCUAGAUAGAUGAUCAUCUGAAAAACAUAACCCGGCUUACAGUCCUGCUUAUAUA